UGCAAGUCGAACGAACUCUGGUAUUGAUUGGUGCUUGCAUCAUGAUUUACAUUUGAGUGAGUGGCGAACUGGUGAGUAACACGUGGGAAACCUGCCCAGAAGCGGGGGAUAACACCUGGAAACAGAUGCUAAUACCGCAUAACAACUUGGACCGCAUGGUCCGAGUUUGAAAGAUGGCUUCGGCUAUCACUUUUGGAUGGUCCCGCGGCGUAUUAGCUAGAUGGUGGGGUAACGGCUCACCAUGGCAAUGAUACGUAGCCGACCUGAGAGGGUAAUCGGCCACAUUGGGACUGAGACACGGCCCAAACUCCUACGGGAGGCAGCAGUAGGGAAUCUUCCACAAUGGACGAAAGUCUGAUGGAGCAACGCCGCGUGAGUGAAGAAGGGUUUCGGCUCGUAAAACUCUGUUGUUAAAGAAGAACAUAUCUGAGAGUAACUGUUCAGGUAUUGACGGUAUUUAACCAGAAAGCCACGGCUAACUACGUGCCAGCAGCCGCGGUAAUACGUAGGUGGCAAGCGUUGUCCGGAUUUAUUGGGCGUAAAGCGAGCGCAGGCGGUUUUUUAAGUCUGAUGUGAAAGCCUUCGGCUCAACCGAAGAAGUGCAUCGGAAACUGGGAAACUUGAGUGCAGAAGAGGACAGUGGAACUCCAUGUGUAGCGGUGAAAUGCGUAGAUAUAUGGAAGAACACCAGUGGCGAAGGCGGCUGUCUGGUCUGUAACUGACGCUGAGGCUCGAAAGUAUGGGUAGCAAACAGGAUUAGAUACCCUGGUAGUCCAUACCGUAAACGAUGAAUGCUAAGUGUUGGAGGGUUUCCGCCCUUCAGUGCUGCAGCUAACGCAUUAAGCAUUCCGCCUGGGGAGUACGGCCGCAAGGCUGAAACUCAAGAA
rnacentral:rRNA from 1 species